UUAAGAAAGAGCUUACCGACUAUUAGGCUCCCGAAGCAGCCUACACAGCCAAGUUGUCCCCGAUUGUGAAUAAUUCUUCUGGGACUAUUAAAACGGGGUAACAUCGUGCAGGGUUUAUGUCACGAAGCGUCAUGUUUGUUCAGUUGUGUCUGCUUAGGCGUAUAUACUUGUGUAGUAAGGCGGAACUAAUAUUCAUCCCGUUGUGUCAGGUAGGCAGCUUAAGGUGAGCUACAUCUGUGCACCUAUGAUAUCCGCCUUCCAUGAUGGAGGCAUAUUCUCUCUUUUGUUUGACCGAGAUGCUGUGUUUGCUGGUGAAUCUCGUGUAUGGCGGGCAUAUUGCAGCCUACGCUUUUAAACUAAUAUUUCAAUUGAAAUCGCUCAUAUUUCUUUGAUGGUUAUAUGAACUGAACAAGCAUUCCGUUCAUAGACAGACAAACCUUAAUUGGUUAUGUUGAUGGAUGGGCAGGUGCCUGAAUGCUGUUGGUCGCGGGUCGGACGGCUGUUGUGUUAGGGUUGUCGUCGCCUUCUAUUGGGGGUGAGUGGCAACCUUAAAUGUGAACAUACAUUGGCAGUACAUGUAUUGUAUUUUUGUAUUUUAUAAUAUUUGAAUUAUGCUUAUACUGGUGAUAUUUAUUCUGAGCACACAUUGUAGACCUGUGAUUUUAACUAUUGUUAAUUGUGGUAAUGUUGUUUCUUUUGUGUGCCUACAGACUGUGUAUGCCGCUGCUUUAGUCUUACUGUGUCGAUGCAGAUGGGUCAAACUUUAAUUUAUAUUUUGUAAACCGAUAGCACUGGUGCACUUUUACUCUCCUUGAGAUACGGCAUUACGGCAAUUUAAACCACUUUCUAAUUUGUGUGAGGCUUACGCCGAUCUAUCUUAAAGAGACAGUACAAAGCGCAUUGCUCAGAUACUAGGCACCAUUGUCAUGUUUUUUUGUAUCCAAUUUGCCUCUUAAAUACUCUUAAACAAUUUUGUCAGUAAUAAACUUUGCUACUUUUUUGUGGCUGUUUGCCUAUUAA